rnacentral:rRNA from 1 species
AGCGAACGCUGGCGGCAGGCCUAACACAUGCAAGUCGAACGAACCUUUCGGGGUUAGUGGCGGACGGGUGAGUAACACGUGGGAACGUGCCUUUAGGUUCGGAAUAACUCAGGGAAACUUGUGCUAAUACCGAAUGUGCCCUUCGGGGGAAAGAUUAAUCGCCUUUAGAGCGGCCCGCGUCUGAUUAGCUAGUUGGUUGAGGUAAUGGCUCACCAAGGCGACGAUCAGUAGCUGGUCUGAGAGGAUGAUCAGCCACAUUGGGACUGAGACACGGCCCAAACUGCUACGGGAGGCAGCAGUGGGGAAUCUUGCGCGAUGGGCGAAAGCCUGACGAAGCCAUGCCGCGUGAAUGAUGAAGGUCUUAGGAUUGUAAAAUUCUUUAACCGGGGACGAUAAUGACGGUACUCGGAGAAGAAGCCCCGGCUAACUUCGUG